rnacentral:lncRNA from 1 species
AAAUUAGAAAACAGAGUAAAAAGGAACACAAAACACACGGCAAAAACAAGGGAUUAGUUUUGCUAAUCCCUGGCAACAGCGCCAAAAUUUGAUGUGAAAAUUAACUUGACACACAAAUUAAACCCUAUUGAUGACAAUUGUAGUAAAGAUGUAAGUAGGGAUCGUUCUAGACCAGGGAUUAACUAGGGCUGCUAAUCAAUGCAAAUAAGACUCAAAAACACUAAACUAGACUCUAUAGACUCAAAAUUGACUUAAAAUACUCAAAACAGCAACAAACAAUAAAAAAGACUCAAUUCUAGACCUGACAAG